UAUUUUCCUUUUUUUCCUAUUAGCUUUCAUCUUCACACAGCCUAUUACUCUUUUCUUUUCUUCCCCUUGAUGGCUAUUUUUAAAUUUGUAAUAAAACGAACUAACCCGAAGAAUUGGUCUCUCUCUCUGGUAUUGCUUUUGUGUAGAGGCAAGAAGACUGAUAAAGGACACAGUGGUUUCUCUAAAUUUUAAAGAGGGAUGGGGGUGGCGGAGGAAGAAAACAGUAGGUUGAAGUUGCUAUCCAAUUGCUCUGUAGCACUAGUCUAAUAAUGUUCACCCAAACCCUGCAUUGCUGUUGGGCUGAAAAUUAUAUGUGAAAAGUAGAAAGCCACCCAUGCCGUUUAUAAAUAGUGUACAAACAACCCAUACCACAUGGUAAAUCUUCACAUUUUCUAAUCUUGAAAUGUUCUUUAUGGCUUCGGCGACUCAAAAAUGUGGUUUUUAACAGAAAUGCCUGGUUAUGGAUAAUAUUUCAAAGGAGUACAAAUCAAGCUAUACAAUUCAGGGGGCUAUCUUGCUAAGUGUUACUAGGCUUGUGGACUUUUGUAUUUUGCAUCUUAAAUUGUGUCAAGCUAAUCUAUAGCUUCAUAGCCCUUUUGGGUGGACGAGUUCCUUAACCUCUUUUUUGGAAUGUAAUAUUAUUUGUUCGCAAUUAAUCUAGAAUAGUGAUUUGGUAGAUUUUCCAUCACAAGCUCCUCUAUAACUAUGUUGAUUGAUGUUGGAAUUAGCUCAUUUGGAUCACAGUGCCACGAUUUAUACCAGGCCCAAAAGAGUUUCUUCUGGGCAUUGCCCAUGUCUGAAAAAUAGUGAUUCAAUUUAAUUUUGAUCAUGAUCCAAAUCAGGUAGCCUAAGAAGAUGCACAAAUGGCCUCAGUCCAAAUUUUGGUAUAAGUUUUAACACUCUUUAUUAAAAGCUAACUUGUGGUGUUUUUUCUUAAACUUCAAGAUAUCUGGAUAUGUUUGACUACCUGAUGCAUAUAUUGAAUGUUAUUUUGGUAGUUUCUUUUUUUGGGCUCAUUGUAGGUUUACUGACACCAGCUUCAAAGUUAAUGGGGUGCAUUAUGAAGGUAGCUUGCUUUGUUUUGGGAACUUGCUAAUAGCUUGACAUGUCAAGAAAUUUUCAGAGGUAAAGAUUUGGAUUGGACUAGCCUAGCCAAUCGAACUGGUUCAGUAUGGUUUAGCUUGUGCUCAAGCGAAGUUAAGGAUGCAGAUACCCACCAGCUCAGUGGAAGACCAAAAAUGACAGCAGAGUGAAAGAAUGUCCACUCUUCCAAGUUGUAUGCCUCUUUUUGCUCGAUGUUGUUAUGUCCAAUUUCUUAAAAAAGGAAGUUCUAUCAUAUGUCACACAAGAACAACAGUUAUAUGGUCCCAACUUUUACCAUAUCAUAUGUAACUAUUUCCUCUUUUAUGUCUGCAAAGCUAAAAAGUUAGUCGUAUCUCCAUAUGCUCUUCUGAUGGAUAGUAAACCAUAUAAGAGACAAACUUUGUAUAGCUUAACCAUGUCAUUGGAAAAUUCUAAUUUGGGUUAAAGGGAGUAGUACAUUGUCGAGAAGGACCGGAACCCUUAUAUCACAUUUGUUCAGACUUUUUGCUUUGUCACAAGGUCCAACACUUUCGUUAUAUGCAUGGACUUCACUUAUGGGUAGCCUUUUUUCCCUCAAAAGAAACCAAUGUUUCCUUUUUCAAUUUGGUUAUAUAGUCACAUUUGACGUGCCUUUGGUAUGUGGCUUCAUGCGCUUAUCUAUCUUCUAGGUUGUGCGACCAGUUCGAGGUGAGUAGCAAUUGGUCUGUUUGAAGAGUGCAAUGUUCAACUGAUGGUUCUCACUUUCUCUGCACCUACCUUCAUGUUCAUGUGCAACAUAGUUCGGGUGCCCAUUCCUUUGGUCCUUCCAUGUCUCAUUGCUUGUUCCUUUUCUUGCAGAGACCAAGCAAGUUUAUCUUAUUUUUGAUGUUUUAAAAGUUCUUUAACCCAUUUUCCUUUCAAGCUAGCAGCAUUGAUUGAAAUGUUUUGGAAGUCUAUCAGUGGUACUCAGCUUCAUUUCAUUUCUUCUUCCACAUAAAAAGGGGAAAUAUUAUGCAAAUUUGUGUCAGUUCUGAUGUACACAUCACACUAUAAGAUUGCUGCAAAUCUGUUUGGUGCAGUUUCCUGCUUGAAAUGGAUUUGCUACUUUGCUUUGGUUGGGUUCUUUUGGCUCUACUCUAUGUGCCAUCAAUAAGCAAAUCUUUCUUAUUUGAUACAGAUCAUCUCUGGAAAGUUUAUACUCCUUUGUCAGCUAUAUUGGUACUAGUAUUCUUUGAAAUCAAGGGGAAAAACUCAAAUUGGUAAUUCAAGGUAGCUAAAGGUUUUAAAUUUUAAUCAAUCAGUUAAAGGUGCAAGUUCAAUGUGUUGGGAAGGUGUGUUUGAAAGCUAAAGCAGUCAAAAGGUGUGGGUGUUUUAUACUGACUUAAGAUCUUGGAGAAGUAACCGUUAGUAUUCAUGGUAGUUAAAUAUUCUUGGGAUGGAUUAGAAAAGAGAGUAGGUAAAAUAGAUUGGAAUAAAGUAUGCUCUAGCUAUUCUUAAAAUAUGCUGUGUCCAUAUUUUCCUCCAUCUGAUUUACAAUUGCCAAUAGAGGGAAAAGUAUGGCGUUCAAUGUAGAUUGACUCUUUCCCAAUAUCUUGCAGUUGAGGUUGUCUGGUUUUUUGCCUAAGUCUAUUACUUGAUUUUCUUUGUCAUUGGAAAAUGUUAUUUAACACAUGAUGCACUAAUUUGUUUGACCUUGGAGAAAAUCCUUAACUUGUAUUUGAAAUUUGCUUAGUUGUACUUAUGAAUUCUACAGGAAUCUGAAGUCCAUUUUGAUUAGUAUUUAACCCAAUGAGUUUCGUUGAGGAAUGAUUAUCUUCUUAAUUUUAUACUACAGCUUCUUCUUUGUCUUUGUUCCUAAUAUAACUUCAUUGCAGAGAUUCUGCUUCUUGGCUGCGGGAGGUACAUUCAAACA